UACGGGGGGGGCAAGCGUUGUUCGGAAUUACUGGGCGUAAAGGGCUCGUAGGUGGCCAACUAAGUCAGACGUGAAAUCCCUCGGCUUAACCGGGGAACUGCGUCUGAUACUGGUUGGCUUGAGUUUGGGAGAGGGAUGCGGAAUUCCUGGUGUAGCGGUGAAAUGCGUAGAUAUCAGGAGGAACACCGGUGGUGUAAACGGCUUUCUGGACCGUAACUGACGCUGAGGCACGAAAGCGUGGGGAGCAAACAGG
rnacentral:rRNA from 1 species